rnacentral:rRNA from 1 species
GCGGUGCUAAGGGAAAACUCCAUUGGAAGCGCGGCUACCAUGCAAGUCGAACGAUGAAAGCCUUUCGUGGGUGGAUUAGUGGCGAACGGGUGGGUGACACGUGGGCAAUCUGCCCUUCGCUCUGGGGCAAGCCCUGGAAACGGGGUCUAAUACCGGAUAACACUCUGUCCCGCAUGGGACGGGGUAAAAAGCUCCGGCGGUGAAUGAUGAGCCCGCGGCCUAUCUUCUUGUUGGUGGGGUAAUGGGCUACCAAGGCGACAACAGGUAGCCGGCCUGAGAGGGCAACCGGCCACACUGGGACUGAGACACGGCCCACACUCCUACGGGAGGCGGCAGUGGGGAAUAUUGCACAAUGGGCGAAAGCCUGAUGCAGCGACGCCCCGUGAGGGAUGACGGCCUUCGGGUUGUAAACCUCUUUCAGCAUGGAAGAAGCGAAAGUGACGGUACCUGCAUAAGAAGCGCCGGCUAACUACGUGCCAACAACCGCGGUAAUACGUAGGGCGCAAGCGUUGUCCGGAAUUAUUGGGCGUAAAGAGCUCGUAGGCGGCUUGUCACGUCGGAUGUGAAAGCCCGGGGCUUAACCCCGGGUCUGCAUUCGAUACGGGCUAGCUAGAGUGUGGUAGGGGAGAUCGGAAUUCCUGGUGUAGCGGUGAAAUGCGCAGAUAUCAAGAGGAACACCGGUGGCAAAUGCGGAUCUCUGGGCCAUUACUGACGCUGAGGAGCGAAAGCGUGGGGAGCGAACAGGAUUAGAUACCCUGGUAGUCCACGCCGUAAACGUUGGGAACUAGGUGUUGGCGACAUUCUACGCUCGUCGGUGCCACAGCUAACGCAUUAAGUUCCCCGCCUGGGGAGUACAGGCCGACAGGCUGAAGACUCACAGGCAGUUGACGGGAGGACCUCCCACUAGACUGCAGGAGGCGUGUCGGCUUUAGUCCGACGCAACUGCGUGAGGAUCUUACCCAGGGCCUGCACAUAUACCUGGACAGGCAUCUGAGAUGGUGCGCACCUUGUGUCGAUAUACAGGGUGCGUGCAUGGACUGAUCGUCAACAUCGUGCUCAUGAGAUGUUGGGCUCAGUUGCCUCCACGAGGCUAGCCCUAGUUUCUGUGAUGCCAGCAUGCCCUUCACGGUUGAUUGCGACUCUCUGUGAGACUGCCAUGUCUCCGACUCUAGCUAGUGAGGACCAGUCAGCUGCAGCCAUAGUCUGAGCUCCACUACAGUGCUGCUCGACUGAGUGUA